rnacentral:rRNA from 1 species
UACGGAGGGGGCUAGCGUUGUUCGGAAUUACUGGGCGUAAAGCGCGCGUAGGCGGACCUGCAAGUCGGGGGUGAAAGCCCGAGGCUCAACCUCGGAACUGCCUUCGAUACUGCGGGUCUCGAGUCCGGGAGAGGUGAGUGGAAUUCCUAGUGUAGAGGUGAAAUUCGUAGAUAUUCGCAAGAACACCAGUGGCGAAGGCGGCUCACUGGCCCGAUACUGACGCUGAGGUGCGAAAGCGUGGGGAUCCAAACAGGG